rnacentral:misc_RNA from 1 species
AAAGUCGUAACAAGGUUUCCGUAGGUGAACCUGCGGAAGGAUCAUUACAAAUCUCUUGUCGGCUUGCAUAUAGCUAGCCGACACAUAUGCACAAGGUCACUAUAUUAAUCUUUGUAUUAACUGGUGACUUUGAUGUUUACGCUUGUAUGUUUGACAAAUAUGAUGACCCAUCUAAUUAUAGACAACUUUUAACAAUGGAUCUCUUGGCUCUU